AUAAAUUCAUUUCAUAGUAAUCACAAUAUCACAUUACAUAUAAACAAAUAAAAAUGAUAAAACAAACUAAAAAUGGCAUUACAUAAUUAAUUACAGAAGUUGACUUAUAAAAUAAAUUAAACAAUACUCAAUUAAAAAUACCACUCUUACAAGUAAAUCGAGGCUUAAUUAACCCUAAAUAUGCAAAAUUUAAUACAACAACAGUAUUUUACACACCUCAGCGUCUCUGCAAAUACUACAAUACCAAAUCAUAUACGAAACUGCUAUACCCUAUGCUGAUUUUGUAAUUAAGGUGUAAAAGAAUUUCGAAAAAAGAAAGAGAAACGAACAUUCUGAGUUAUUACACAGCAGAAACUAAGCUAUCACAUGAUUUAAUGCGUCGGGAUCCGAAGGUUCUACCCGACCCGACCCGGUUAGGGUGAGGUGGUGUCAGAGUUGUAGGCACUCGGAACCGGUGGUGUGGUGGACGGGGAGGUGUGAGUGGUGCGAGAAGCUCCGUCUGGUUCUCCGUCAGUGGUUGGGCGUGGAACCAAAGAGGAGGCAAACGCCGUGAGGGAGCUGACGAGAGUUUUGACGGCUCUGAUUUUGAUCAGCCCCCUGGGCGGAGGCAGCCUUCGCGCCGGGACUUGUCUGCUGUUAGAUCUGGUCACGGUGCGCUCCAAUUGAGGCAUGCUGGGCACGAGGAACCGCAGAGAAGUUGAUGAGGCAAAACAGAGGAAGAGGUUGGUUUGUGAAGGGAGUGAAGCAGUGAGGGAACUUAAAAGCAGAGAAGCUUCAGUAACUUACUCAAGAAGAUUCAUUUCACAAAUACAUAUCAUGCCUACUAAACUAUUUUUUUCUUUUAAGAUUUAAAUUAAUUACAACUAUUUUCAAUUUUAUAUUCUUUUCCUUGUAAUUUUAGUGGAGUGACUGCACUAAUAUAUACCAAUAUUUUUAUAUAUAUACACAACAGGUAACAAAUGAAA
rnacentral:lncRNA from 1 species